rnacentral:rRNA from 1 species
UGCAGUCGAGCGGUAACAUUUCUAGCUUGCUAGAAGAUGACGAGCGGCGGACGGGUGAGUAAUACUUGGGGAUCUGCCUGAUGGAGGGGGACAACCACUGGAAACGGUGGCUAAUACCGCAUGACGCCUACGGGCCAAAGUGUGGGACCUUCGGGCCACACGCCAUCAGAUGAACCCAAGCGAGAUUAGCUAGUUGGUGAGGUAACGGCUCACCAAGGCGACGAUCUCUAGCUGGUCUGAGAGGAUGAUCAGCC